GGGACACGUGGUAUCCUGUCUGAAUAUGGGGGGACCAUCCUCCAAGGCUAAAUACUCCUGACUGACCGAUAGUGAACCAGUACCGUGAGGGAAAGGCGAAAAGAACCCCGGCGAGGGGAGUGAAAAAGAACCUGAAACCGUGUACGUACAAGCAGUGGGAGCACCUUCGGGUGUGACUGCGUACCUUUUGUAUAAUGGGUCAGCGACUUAUAUUCUGUAGCAAGGUUAACCGUAUAGGGGAGCCGCAGGGAAACCGAGUCUUAACUGGGCGUUAAGUUGCAGGGUAUAGACCCGAAACCCGGUGAUCUAGCCAUGGGCAGGUUGAAGGUUGGGUAACACUAACUGGAGGACCGAACCGACUAAUGUUGAAAAAUUAGCGGAUGACUUGUGGCUGGGGGUGAAAGGCCAAUCAAACCGGGAGAUAGCUGGUUCUCCCCGAAAGCUAUUUAGGUAGCGCCUCGUGAACUCAUCUUCGGGGGUAGAGCACUGUUUCGGCUAGGGGGUCAUCCCGACUUACCAACCCGAUGCAAACUACGAAUACCGAAGAAUGUUAUCACGGGAGACACACGGCGGGUGCUAACGUCCGUCGUGAAGAGGGAAACAACCCAGACCGCCAGCUAAGGUCCCAAAGUCAUGGUUAAGUGGGAAACGAUGUGGGAAGGCACAGACAGCCAGGAUGUUGGCUUAGAAGCAGCCAUCAUUUAAAGAAAGCGUAAUAGCUCACUGGUCGAGUCGGCCUGCGCGGAAGAUGUAACGGGGCUAAACCAUGCACCGAAGCUGCGGCAGCGACACUAUGUGUUGUUGGGUAGGGGAGCGUUCUGUAAGCCUGCGAAGGUGACCUGUGAGGGUUGCUGGAGGUAUCAGAAGUGCGAAUGCUGACAUAAGUAACGAUAAAGCGGGUGAAAAGCCCGCUCGCCGGAAGACCAAGGGUUCCUGUCCAACGUUAAUCGGGGCAGGGUGAGUCGACCCCUAAGGCGAGGCCGAAAGGCGUAGUCGAUGGGAAACAGGUUAAUAUUCCUGUACUUGGUGUUACUGCGAAGGGGGGACGGAGAAGGCUAUGUUAGCCGGGCGACGGUUGUC
rnacentral:rRNA from 2 species